rnacentral:lncRNA from 1 species
ACAUAGUAAAGGUUGCAAGUGCCUUGGAUGGUAUUCCAAGUGGAGUGGCCUGGAAGUUUGCAGCAAAAAGGAAACCAAACACAAUCUUCUCAUUUCGGACACUUUCUGGUGGAUGUUAAGAGUUUGCCUACAGUUUAAGCAGAUGCUGGAGUUUCUCGACAUGUGUGGUCUCCCAAGGAAGAGAUGAUGGUGAGAAGAGGUUCAGCCCACCAGCCUUUACUAUCUUCCUUCCUGUCCUUUGCUCCAGAAGACUCCCUCUUGUCUGCCCAUGGAGCUCAUCACCACACCACCUGUUACCCAGUGUCCAUGCCACCUGGCUGCCAUUGCAGUGGUCCACCCUCCCAGGGGGCCUGAGCGGCUGUCCCUCUUGGUCUGUGUGUCCUACCAAAAGCCUUGCUAAAUGGAGAUGUGAUGGGGCCAUGGUCACUGGCAGGGUUGCUCAUGGAUUGCUGAUGGAAUGCGUGGAUGGGAGGCCAGUCUGAUCCACUCUUGCUAUGAGUCAUAGCUGGUCUUCCCUGGUCAAGCAGACCCACUAUCCUCACGUGGGGACUCUCUGCCAGGUGGCUGGGUUUCAUCAACACGAAAGUUCAUCUGCCCCCUUCAUUUGCUGACUCUGAUAGACAGUUCUUGUGUGUAGAGGGAUCCUCCCCUUCUGUGGGGUCACCCGCGGCAGAGAGACUGUUUCUGCACUGCAUGGCAAUGAUCCCUUUGGGAAAUGGUUUGCUCAGUGGUUAGUAGAGGUGAGCCUUGUGUGACCUGCAAGGUAACUGGGUCACAGGUGUCCAGCAGACCCACUUGUGCUUGCUGUUCUGGAGUGAGAAGCAGACAGGUAGACAGAAGGAAGAGGUGCAUACACGUUUACAGAACAGAGAUUGGUGGAGAAGGUAAGAACUGAAAUUCAGAUUUCACAUAACUAGAGUUCUCCCCUUCUCCCUCAGCCAGAGGAAUAAUGAAUAAUAGAGAGUAGUAGUUAUAAUAAUAACCUGACCUGCCUCUUGAGAAUCUGUAUGCAGGUCAGGAAGCAACAGUUAGAACUGGACAUGGAACAACAGACUGGUUCCAAAUAGGAAAAGGAGUUCGUCAAGGCUGUAUAUUGUCACCCUGCUUAUUUAACUUCUAUGCAGAUUACAUCAUGAGAAAACGCUGGACUGGAAGAAACACAAGCUGAAAUCAAGAUUGCCGGGAGAAAUAUCAAUAACCUCAGAU